UGCCAGCAGCCGCGGUAACACGUAAGGGGCGUGCGUUGUUCGGAUUUAUUGGGCGUAAAGGGCGUGUAGGCGGUUUAUCAAGCCUGAUGUGAAAGACCCUGGCUUAACCAGGGGAGCGCGUUGGGAACUGAUAGACUAGAGUAUAGGAGGGGUAGUUGGAAUUCCAGGUGUAGGGGUGAAAUCUGUAGAUAUCGGGAGGAACACCAGUGGCGAAGGCGGCCAUCUGGACGGUGACUGACGCUCAGACCCGAAAGCGUGGGUAGCAAACAGGAUUAGAUA
rnacentral:rRNA from 1 species